ACAGGUUUAAGAAGAAAAAUCAUAUGAUCCUGUUAAUUGUUGCAGAGAAAGCAUUUGACAAAAUCCAACACCUAAUCAAGAUUAAAAAAGAAAAAACACCCUCAGCAAACUGGAAAUAGAGGGAACUCACUUAACUUUAUAAAGAAUAGCUACAGAAAAACUAACAUCAUACUUACUGGUAAGAAACUGAAUGCCUUUCUCCUGAGAUCAGGAACACAACAAGGAUAUCCUUUCUUGCCACUUCCAUUCAACAUUGCAGUGAAGGUCAUACAAUUCCAGGUUGCUCACAGACCCCCUCUAGGAGAUGUUACUGUCGCUCAUUCGUAUUUCCGGUUCUACUCCUCUUCCGGGCACACUGGAGAAUUACACUUCCUUGCUGACUUGAGAUAAGUCACAGCUUUGGCCAAUGAAGUGUGAAUGGAAGUUUUCAGAACCUUUAAGAGCCUGUACGCAAUUUGCCAUGCUUUCUCUUUUUGCUUUGUCACCAAAACCUCUGUGUUCCAGAUAGUGACUACUCUGUCUGCGUGGGUCCUGGAGAGAGGAGGAUGCAGAGCACAGCACUUAGCCAACCUGCAAUGGACACGUAGAAAACCUCAAGAAAGGCUCUGGCCUAGACUUGCCCCUUGUUCCUGUCUUCUGGCUCUUGACUGACACUGGUGCUUUCCCCCUGUGGUCCUGCAUGGUGUGUGGUGACUACCUCAUUGGGCCCUAAAACUUCUAAAAUCAUCAGGAGAUAUCACUGAAAAGGUUUCAAAACAAAGCCAUAAUCUCUAGAAAUGUGUCCUUGAUGGGUUGGUCUUCAUUUGCCUGAAGCCACCAACUGAUAGCUACAAAACUGCACUUCCUAGAGACAUGUUGAGAGAGGUUCAAGGCUCAACAGAACUUACCCUUUUGCUGUCAGAGCUCCACCACCAGAUAAGCACAACUGAGCGAAUGACACCAACCAGUGCCAAGAGAAGCAGGACUACCCAACUACACUUUGCCUAAAUUCCUGAUUCACAGAAUUAUAAGCAAAUAAAAUGAUUGUUUAAAGCACUAAGUUUUGGGUUCAUUUGUUAUGCGGCAAUAAAGAAUCAAAACACCUGGAACCCAGUUCCCUUCUCUUUUAUUACCCACAUGGUCUCUCUCCUGUAGUGUCGCUGUUUUUCCUGACUAGCUUUCUCAUCCUGCUGUUACACCCUUACUAGGAAUUUCUCUCAGCAAUAUCCAGUUAAAAUUCCGGAAGGGAAUAGGCUGGUUGGCUUUGCUCAUUGUCUCACUUUUCUUGGGCAGAACCUUUUGUACCAAUCCAUUUCAUCAGCAUUUUUAUGGGUGAAUCUUAGUUGACCAGGUACCGACUCUCGUCAAAUUACUGUCUGACUCUACACAAGAAAUAUACAAAGAGCCUGGUGCUGCUUUCCUGAGCAGGACAGUUCAUAGGGACAUUGAGCAUGGUUGGCAUCUAACCUGGUUAUUCUGAAGAUUUCAUGAUUAAAUCCUCAGUCCUAUGAAUUAACCAAUUGUCCAGUGUUAAAAUACAGACACCCCCUGCACACAUGAAACUGCUCAUCAAUUGUUUAAACUUUAACAUAUGUAAAAGGUGUCCAGUAGGAGCUAGCUGAAUCUGAGCAUUAAUGCUGGAAAAGGAGGAGGAGGCCUGAGAUCUUUGGCUGCUUGGUAGAGUAAAGGUGGUAGAAAGAAGUCAACAAGAACUUAAAGGAAAGAUCAAAGGACAGUGAAAGAACAUUUUUCCUAGUUUUGCCUAGAGCAGGCUUUUGAUUAAAGGUAGAGUGCUGACUCUCUAAAGAUAGAUAUCUAAAAGGAUUCUUCUAGAUACAUGAGAGCACAGGAAAGAUUGUGCAAGGGCAUAAAUAUGAGCAUACUAUAGUGAUUAAGACCAUGUGACAUUAAAGGAAGAGGAAGAUGGAAAAAAAGGUACAUGAAGAAUAUAAACAAGAGGUUGGUGCCUAGAAAAAGAGGAAGAUAGUAGAAAGUUUGGGAAGUAUAGAAAGUAUAAGAUCCUUUAGGAGUUGUUCUUUAUAUACUACUAUUUGCUAAACUUCAAUGUUUAAAAUUCAGCAUUUGUAGAGCAAGCGUAGGUAUACAGCUAUUAUUAAAUUCUAAUAUGUAAUGGUCUGUAUACUUCCAGAAGCUUUCAGAGUUUUGAAUUGAUAUUCCAUUAUAAAUUUUUUAGGAAUUCACCAUUUGUAAUGCACAUGUCUAGUGAUAAUUCUUUCCCUCAGCCCCACCCCCCAGAUCUUUAUAUGUCUGGUAAUUUCUCAUCAUUCAGGCUUUCGUUGAAACGGAAAUGCCUCAGAAAGCCUUUUGCUUUCUUAACCAUCCUUGGCAAGAAGAAUUCCAUGAUGGACCCUCCAGGUUCCUAGCCUUGAUAUACACACAUCUCUCAGUUAUUCAGUAAAACACACUAAUGUAGCUAUUGCUGUAAAGGAAGUAUGGAGAUGAAAUCAAGGUCCCAAAUCUAUUGACCUUUAAAUAAAGAGAUUAACCGGGUGGAACUGACCAAGUCAUAUGAGCCCUUUAAAAUAAAUUUUCUCAACCACAGUGAGAUACGACCUCAUAGCUGUUACAACGGCUAUAUCAAAGAGACAAGAGAGGCUGGGCAUGGUGGCUCACGCCUAUAAUCCCUGCACUUUGGGAGGCAGAGGAGGGUGGGUUACUUGAGGUCAGGUGUUUGAGACCAGCCUGGCCAACAGGCUGAAAGCCCGUCUCUACUAAAAAUACAAAAAUUAACCUGGCAUGGUGGAGGGCAUCUGUAAUCCCAGCAACUCAGCUGAGGCAGAAUAAUUGCUUAAACCCAAGAGAUGGAUGUUGCAGUGAGCCAAAACCACACCACAGCCCUUCAGCCUGGGCAACAGAGUGAGACUCCAUCUUAAAAAAAAAAAAAACAAGAGAUAACAAGUUCAGCUAAUUUAAUGUAUAGCAUGCCAAUUAUAAUUAAUAACAAUGUAACAUACACUUGGAAAUUGCUAAAAGAGUCGAUUUCAAUGUCCUCACCCCAAACAAAUAAUAUGUGAGGUAGUAGAUAUGUUAAUUAGCUUGAUUUUGUCAUUUCACAAUGUGUACAUAUAUCAAAAUAUAUUGUACACCAUAAAUAUAUACAAUUUUUAUUUAUUCAUUUAAAAAUAAGUAAAAAUAAAAAUGGGGCUUAUACUUUAAGAAAUUGAUUUUGGCCAGGCACAGUGGCUCACGCCUGUAAUCCCAGCACUUUGGGAGGCCGAGGUGGGUGGAUCACCUGAGGUCUGGAGUUCGAGACCAGCUUAGCCAACAUGGUGAAACCCCAUCUCUGAUGAAAAUAUAAAAAAUGAGCUGGGUGUGGUGGAAGGCUCCUAUAAUCCCAGCUACCUGAGAGGCUGAGGCAGGAGAAUCACUUGAAGCGGGGUGGUGGAGGUUGCAGUGAGUCGAGAUCGCAUCAUUGCACGCCAGCCUGGGCAACAGGAGCAAAACUCUGCUCAAAAAAAGAAAAAAGAAAAAAGAAAAAAAAAAACUUGAUUUUAUCUGGCUGUUUGAAGAAGUCAGAGAUGUGAAGUUUGUGACGGUUAUCACAUGCCAUUGCUGACAAAGAUGGAGGAAUUCAAGGAAUGUGGCAGGCUACUGGAGCCCAGGGUAGCCCUUGGCUAACAGCCAGCAAGGAGCAAGGAUCUCAGUCCUACAACUACAAGGAACUGGAUUCUGCCAGUAACAGCAAUGAGCUUGGAAGCAGAGUUUUUAUUUCAGCCUUGUGAGACCCUGAGCAGAGAACCCAGCAAUACCAUGCCAGACUUCUGAUCUACAAAGCAGUAUAUAAUAAAUGAGUGUUUUUUAAAUGGCUGAGUUCAUGAUAAUUUGUUACAUAGCAACAGAAAACUAAUUUACCAUCCUAAUCUAAAAUAAGACCCCAUAAUCACACUCCAGUCAUUAUUAUACAUUAGUUUGUUUUUCUUUCUUCAAAAAUAUAUAUAAUAAUUUAUGUAUUAUAUAUAAAACAUAAAAUUAAUAUUUAUUUGCUUGCUUGCUUGCUAAAUAUCUCUUCCCUAAUAUUAUAUUAGACAAUAAGCUUAGUGAGGGAACGUAAAAGGUACCCAAUCAAUAUUUACUUAAAAAAAGAUAAAUGCCUACAUUUAAACAAAUAUUUUUCAAAAAAAGGUUAAUCAAAUCUCAGAGAUACCAUCCCCCCCAAAAAAUUUUUUAAAUAUGUCUUCUAGGCCAGGCGCAGUGGCUCACACCUGUAAUCCCAGCACUUGGGGAGGCUGAGGUGGAAGGACUGCCUGAGUCCAGGAGUUCAAGACCAACCUAGGCAACAUGUUGAGACUCCAUCUCAUAAAAUAAAUUUGUUUUUUAAAGUGUCUUCUGGCCGGGCGCGGUGGCUUACGCCUGUAAUCCCAGCACUUUGGGAGGCCGAGGCGGGCG
rnacentral:lncRNA from 1 species